AGCGAACGCUGGCGGCAGGCCUAACACAUGCAAGUCGAACGGCAGCACAGGAGAGCUUGCUCUCUGGGUGGCGAGUGGCGGACGGGUGAGGAAUAUAUCGGAAUCUACCCUUUCGUGGGGGAUAACGUAGGGAAACUUACGCUAAUACCGCAUACGAACUGAGGUUGAAAGCGGCGGACCGCAAGGCGUCGCGCGGAUGGAUGAGCCGAUAUCCGAUUAGCUAGUUGGCGGGGUAAAGGCCCACCAAGGCGACGAUCGGUAGCUGGUCGGAGAGGAUGAUCAGCCACACUGGACCUGAGACACGGUCCAGACUCCUACGGGAGGCAGCAGUGGGGAAUAUUGGACAAUGGGCGCAAGCCUGAUCCAGCCAUGCCGCGUGUGUGAAGAAGGCCUUCGGGUUGUAAAGCACUUUUGUUGGGAAAGAAAAGCGGUCGGUUAAUACCCGGUCGUUCUGACGGUACCCAAAGAAUAAGCACCGGCUAACUUCGUGCCAGCCGCCGCAGUAA
rnacentral:rRNA from 1 species